UACGUAGGGCGCAAGCGUUGUCCGGAAUUAUUGGGCGUAAAGAGCUCGUAGGCGGGUUUGUCGCGUCUGCUGUGAAAUCCUCAGGCGUCAACCUGGGGCUUGCAGUGGGUACGGGCAGACUAGAGUGCGGUAGGGGUGACUGGGAAUUCCUGGGUGAUAGCGGUGGAAUGCGCAGAUAUCAGGAGGAACACCGAUGGCGAAGGCAGGUCACUGGGCCGCAACU
rnacentral:rRNA from 1 species